AGAGUUUGAUCAUGGCUCAGAUUGAACGCUGGCGGCAGGCCUAACACAUGCAAGUCGAGCGGUAGCACAGAGAGCUUGCUCUCGGGUGACGAGCGGCGGACGGGUGAGUAAUGUCUGGGAAACUGCCUGAUGGAGGGGGAUAACUACUGGAAACGGUAGCUAAUACCGCAUAACGUCGCAAGACCAAAGUGGGGGACCUUCGGGCCUCAUGCCAUCAGAUGUGCCCAGAUGGGAUUAGCUAGUAGGUGGGGUAACGGCUCACCUAGGCGACGAUCCCUAGCUGGUCUGAGAGGAUGACCAGCCACACUGGAACUGAGACACGGUCCAGACUCCUACGGGAGGCAGCAGUGGGGAAUAUUGCACAAUGGGCGCAAGCCUGAUGCAGCCAUGCCGCGUGUGUGAAGAAGGCCUUCGGGUUGUAAAGCACUUUCAGCGGGGAGGAAGGCGAUAAGGUUAAUAACCUUGUCGAUUGACGUUACCCGCAGAAGAAGCACCGGCUAACUCCGUGCCAGCAGCCGCGGUAAUACGGAGGGUGCAAGCGUUAAUCGGAAUUACUGGGCGUAAAGCGCACGCAGGCGGUCUGUCAAGUCGGAUGUGAAAUCCCCGGGCUCAACCUGGGAACUGCAUUCGAAACUGGCAGGCUAGAGUCUUGUAGAGGGGGGUAGAAUUCCAGGUGUAGCGGUGAAAUGCGUAGAGAUCUGGAGGAAUACCGGUGGCGAAGGCGGCCCCCUGGACAAAGACUGACGCUCAGGUGCGAAAGCGUGGGGAGCAAACAGGAUUAGAUACCCUGGUAGUCCACGCCGUAAACGAUGUCGACUUGGAGGUUGUGCCCUUGAGGCGUGGCUUCCGGAGCUAACGCGUUAAGUCGACCGCCUGGGGAGUACGGCCGCAAGGUUAAAACUCAAAUGAAUUGACGGGGGCCCGCACAAGCGGUGGAGCAUGUGGUUUAAUUCGAUGCAACGCGAAGAACCUUACCUGGUCUUGACAUCCACAGAACUUUCCAGAGAUGGAUUGGUGCCUUCGGGAACUGUGAGACAGGUGCUGCAUGGCUGUCGUCAGCUCGUGUUGUGAAAUGUUGGGUUAAGUCCCGCAACGAGCGCAACCCUUAUCCUUUGUUGCCAGCGGUCCGGCCGGGAACUCAAAGGAGACUGCCAGUGAUAAACUGGAGGAAGGUGGGGAUGACGUCAAGUCAUCAUGGCCCUUACGACCAGGGCUACACACGUGCUACAAUGGCAUAUACAAAGAGAAGCGACCUCGCGAGAGCAAGCGGACCUCAUAAAGUAUGUCGUAGUCCGGAUUGGAGUCUGCAACUCGACUCCAUGAAGUCGGAAUCGCUAGUAAUCGUAGAUCAGAAUGCUACGGUGAAUACGUUCCCGGGCCUUGUACACACCGCCCGUCACACCAUGGGAGUGGGUUGCAAAAGAAGUAGGUAGCUUAACCUUCGGGAGGGCGCUUACCACUUUGUGAUUCAUGACUGGGGUGAAGUCGUAACAAGGUAACCGUAGGGGAACCUGCGGUUG
rnacentral:rRNA from 1 species